UAUUAGCAUAAAAAAUUUAACUGAACAAUACAAUCUACCGAUUAAAAAUCAAAAGUUCUGGCGGUAUCUUAUAAAAUUAGGGGAACCUGUUACUUAAUUCGAUAGUCCACGUCAAAUCUCCCACUCUUAGCAAAUUUACCAGCCUGUAUACUGCUGUCAUCAAUAAACCUUCUAAAAGAAAGUCUAUAAUAAUAUAUUUAAUAAUAAUGUCAAGUCUAAGUGCAGCAAAUAGAGUGGUGUAAAUGGGUUACAAUCAUAUACAAUGCUAUCCAAUAAUAAUAUAUAAUUAUUAAUAAAAAUGGACUUAAUCGUAAUAAAAUAAAAUAUAAUUUUAUUAACAUAUAUCUAAGAUAUGCACACAUCGCCCGUCACUCCUGUUUAUAAAACA
rnacentral:rRNA from 1 species